CGCGUAGGCGGUUUGUACAGUCAGACGUGAAAUUCCUGGGCUCAACCUGGGGGCUGCGUUUGAUACGUGCAGACUUGAGUUCGGAAGAGGGUCGUGGAAUUCCCAGUGUAGAGGUGAAAUUCGUAGAUAUUGGGAAGAACACCGGUGGCGAAGGCGGCGACCUGGUCCGAUACUGACGCUGAGGCGCGAAAGCGUGGGGAGGCAAAACA
rnacentral:rRNA from 1 species